rnacentral:lncRNA from 7 species
GAACGUACUAAACACAUACCGAGAAAUAUGGUAAAUCGGUAAGCCUAGUACCUGAGUGAACCUGCCCGCAGACUUUACCCCUCACGCGACCUGAGACGAGGUCUCCCAUUCCGGUUAUGGUGGGUACAAGUGCGGCCACUGCACGACGGCCAGUCGGGGUCAGUGGGGCAUUGUACGCCAAGGCGGUGAGCCCUGAUCUGUUGCCAGGGAAUCGAUGGGGACGGUUGAUGUGUGUGGGGACGGAGUGCCCCUACAUGUCGUGUGUUUAGGUUUACCUUGCAAGGUUUAAAAACUCGAUUCGAAUCGUCUGCUUCUCGCAGCUAAUGAGACUGCUUGAUCCAUGCUGCUACAUUGAGUAACAAGUGGAAUUGUGCUGAGAUGAUACAAGAUGUUGAUUGCUAAAAAUGUUUGCUACUAUGUAUGAAUAGAUAGUACAUCUUUAGCCUUAAGAGAGUCACACUUAAUUUUGACAAAGUUAAAAACUUGAUUUAGAAACUCAGCUAGUGCUUUUGGCAACCAAACCCCACAGCCAAACAGCUGCAUGUCUAGAGGUAGAGGAGUAGACUCCUCACACCGGGUAAGUCUAGCUGAGUAUUAGUAUACUCAGCCUUGCUUGUGGCAUAAUUUUUGCAGGUACUUCUUAGGUUGAUUGGUUGAUGGUGUGACUUGGCCUUCAUCCCUGCCACCGGGAUAGACGGUCGAGUGGGUUAUUGCUUCCGCAGGAGAGGACCAGGAGGAGUAGCGUGGCCAGGCUUCGCCAUGUUACUCGGUUUUCUCCGUUAGUUAUUUCCGCUGCAUUAAAAUUUAUGGUUCUUAUUUCUGAAACUCCGAUAAUGUAAUCACUAAUGUUACUUAUUAAAUUUGUGGUAUUAUGUUUUAUUGUAUUUCUCUGUGCCUCACCUUCAUGUGAGCUAGUGGUAUUCGAUCCUGGUAAGUGGCUUUAUCGGACUAGAUCCGAGGGACUGACGGGUUAUUCCUGUUUAAGUGUGUUGCUGCCCUUAAGGGUGCGACUUGGGCACUUAAGCUGGAAUAAUUCGGGCGGUUCCGCCACAGCUGGUAUCGGAGCGAAUACCAUCACAUAGAAGUCAAUAAGUCAUAAAUACCAACCUUUUCUAAAGUAAAACUUGCUUAGAAACCAAAGUUGGAUAGAUAUCAGGACGAUAAGUUAGACCUAGGACGUGAAGCCUUAGGAAAUAGAUGGGUAGCUAGGUGGCUAUUUAUAUAGGCCAUAAAGGCUACUACUACUAUUAAUAGGGAUGCUAUAGCAAGCACCCGAAGAGUAGUUAGGUCUGAGAAGACGACUAGAAUGAGCAUGCAUCAUGAUUGUCGCAUUAUAAUUGUCUCUUGUGCACAAACCUGCUUCUCUCACCUUUAUUCCAAUAAUAAAAACUUGUGAAUAAUGUGAUGUCCUGCUAUGUUAGAAAUGCCUUACCCCGUGUCAGAUUGGUAAGUCUUGUUAGUUCGUGCUAUGUGUUUGUCUUGUCUUGCUAGCUAUGUGGUAUUGUAAUUGUUCAACCCUCCUUGC